CAAAAACAAUUUACACUUCUCAUAUAACAAAAAGAUUCAAAACCCAAUCACAUUGCUUUUCAUAAUACAUAUAACUAUGUAAGUAUGAAACAUGUAUAAUGGGCUAAUUUUUAAAUUAGUAGUAUUGGACUUGGCCAUAGUAGGAAUUAGUGAAUACCUAAGUCAUUGCCUUCCUAAAUCUCUUUUUCUAUCUAACAUUCUCUCUUCUAUGAGUACUAUUCGUUCCUCAAAUUUAGAGGUGGCAAGAAGCCAUUAAGAGUGGAUUUUUGCACAAUCUAAUUCUGUAUCGUUCUAUUAGGUAGUGUUUAGUAGUGAGACAGAUAUUGAAAGACAGAUACUGAGAGACAAAGAUAGAGAGACAGAAAUUAAAAUAAAUCUCAAUAUUGUGUUUGAUAUAAAAUAUCGUUCAAAAUAUAAUAUAGAGACUAAAAUAAAUGAAAUAACCAAAUUAUCCCUACUAAUUAAAAGAAAAAAACAAAAAUAAAACCCUCACCCAAUCCUCCAGACAACCAUUUCCCCUUCCUCCUUUCUCAAUCCCCAAUGUCUCCCGUCAGUCCACCCAAUUUCGCCGCGUCACUCUCCUGCUUGGCGUCCAGUUUGCCGUCGACGAGGAAGCCUUGCCACCGUUUCUCCAUUGCUUCGCAUACGGGGAUACUAGAUAAGAGCAAAUUAGUUGCUAUUGAUGCUGGAAACAGGAGCUAUCCUCCGAAUAAGGUAUGUAAACUGAUAAUUACGAUGAUUUUGACACCAAAUUUCUGAUGAUUCGAUGAUGACACUGAUAUGAGAUAGUUAGCAUCGUUAUUAACUUUGAAUAAAGUCACAAUUUAAAAAGUUGUUUUUCACAUCGAGUGAUUUUGAGUUUGUUAGUAUAUUAAUAUUAACAAAGCAUUACAUUUAUCAAAUCUUGUUAUUAUUGUUCAGAUGUCAAGAACAAGUGGGAGAAGAGCUCUUGGGGGAGGAAACUCAUUGUCCAGAAGAGAAGGGCAUCCCUCAAUGACUUCGACAGGUUCAAGAUUAUGUUGGCUAAGAUCAAG